UGAUCAUUUAGUCUGACCUCCUGUGCAUUGCAGGCCACAGAACCUCACCCACCCACUCCUGUAAUAGACCCCCUCACCUCAGGCUGAGUUACUGAAGGCCUCAAAUCAUGAUUUAAAGACUUCAACUUCCAGAGAAGCCACUAUUUGCCAUCAUCACAGUAACUCACACCAGCAAGUGA